GUCCACGCCGUAAACGAUGGAUACUAGCUGUUGGGGCAACUUCAGUGGCUAAGCGAAAGUGAUAAGUAUCCCACCUGGGGAGUACGUUCGCAAGAAUGAAACUCAAAGGAAUUGACGGGGCCCGCACAAGCGGAGGAACAUGUGGUUUAAUUCGAUGAUACGCGAGGAACCUUACCCGGGCUCGAACGGCGCCUGAACCACCCAGAGACGGGUGGGUCUUCGGACAGGUGCCGAGGUGCUGCAUGGUUGUCGU
rnacentral:rRNA from 1 species